rnacentral:lncRNA from 1 species
GCACCGGAGCCUCAGGAGCGAAACCCACCGGGAGAAACGGGCACGGGAACGAGCAGCACGGGCAGCCCCCGGGCUCGCUCCUCCAGCCGGGCGGGGGGAUGCGCUGAGACCCCCGGGCAGGGUUUUGGUGUCCUUCCCCUGCAUGCUGCUACCCCAUUAAAAAAUUAAAUUAAUUAUUUAAAAAAAAAGGAAAAAAAAAAGCACAAACCGCAGAUUUUUGUUUCCUUCUCGCCUGUUUCUGCCCCGCAGGAUGGGGUCGGGUCGCAUCCCGCCGGCCCCGCACGGAGCUGCCACCGGGAUCGGCCCCGUUUGGGAAGGAACCGGCACGGACGGCACCGGGAGCAGCACCGGGGCCGGGUACCGGAGCACCGGGUGCCGCAAGCAGCGCGGUUAUUCGGGGCCACCCCAUUGUUCCCGGCCACCCCUCGCUGUGGGGUGAGUUACCGACAAUUUAUUAGCUGGGAAGAAAUGAAAAAUGAAGAAAAAACCCCAAAACCGACGGCCGGGCUUCCCGCAUGAGGCACCGGCCCCGUGCAUCCUUCCCGGUGCGUCCUAUGCGGCUCAGGGUCUGGGACCCCCCCUCCUCGCCCUCGCCUUUGUCCGCACCCGGGGCGGCCCCGCGGGCACCGGAGACAAAGGGCGGCGGGAGGGGGUCCUGCGGGGCCACCCUUUAUUGGGGCCGAACCGAACCGGGCUGGGUCUGGUGCCCCCUGCCCUGGGAACAAAGGCGGCAGCUUUGGGGUGAGCUCCCUGACCCCGCUCCGGGUGGGGAAAAUGUGGGGCUGGGGGCUCGGCACCGGCACGGGACGGGAUGCACCGGGACCUGGCUCCUUUGUCCUCGCUCCCACCCGCAGCACGAGGCGCGGAGCAUCCCGGGGGGGCUCAGCACGGCUGGGGGGGGCGCACAGGGCUUGGGCUGCGCCCCCGUGCUCUGCAUCGCCGUGGCCGUGCGGAGCCGCCCUGAGCACCCAAGGGUGCUGCCUGGGGCUGUGCGGCGGGGGCACCCCGGGGAUAGUCAUGGGGGGGGGGGACUGGGGGGGCUGCAGAGCCUGCGUUGGCCCCCGGGGUCCCGGCACGGCCUCGUGGCUCCUCCGGCAGCCGCCCCGGCCUCGAGCCGUGCAGUCAGCCAGGAGCAGGCGCCUGCUUUGGGUGUUUGUUUGGCGUUCAUUUAAAAAAAAAAAAUAAAAAUAAAUUGUUGUUGUGUUUUGGGUUUAUUUAUAAUUUUUUGAAUUUUAUUUUUGUUGUUUGUAUUUUGCUUUUCGUUUCGUUUUUUUUUUUUUCUGAAUUUUUUUUUUCCCGGCUGCGUGAUUAAAGGGCAGAUUUGUGGCCGUGGAAGCCGGGAGCAGCUCCAGGCUGCCGGGAUGCUGCCGGGGGACCGGCCCCAUGCCCGGGGGGGUGCCUGAACCACACCACCCGUGACAGCACCCAUGGUGCCCGUGACACCCUGCCUGGCUCCGGCCCCAUCCCAGGUGAGCGACCCCGGGCACGGGGACGUUCCUGCCACCAGCCUGGGGACACCGCCACUGGGGGGGGACCUCGCCACUGAGCCCCCCACCCAGAGCAGCCCCUGCAGACUCCUCGGGGGGGCUCACGCUGCUCAGCACAAGCAGCACCCGAGGGUGUCACAGUCGGUGGCAGGGGACACGGGGACACCACGGUGGUGGCACGGUACCAGCACCGUGAGGGCUGCGGGUUUGGGGUGUCCCCUGGCACCACAGGGAGGAGGACGGGGGGCACCCACUGGGGCUGGAGCAACGUGGGACCAGCCCCUUGUCCCCAUCCCACAGCCAGGCCGGGUGUCCCCUGUCCCCACCGGGGGCCUGGCCCAGCCUUGCCGGUGCCAGGAUGCGAAAAUCCCGGUGGCAAUGUCCCGGAGCAUCCCGGUAACGUCCCGGUAACUCCCGUUUGGACGUGCGGGUCCCGGUGCUGUGACGGCUCCCCUGACAAAACUCAUUACCGGGGGGCUUCUCUUUACGGCACGGGCCAAACCCAUGAGGGGGGAGCACCCGAGCCCCUCCCCAGCCCCGCACACACCGGGGUCGGGGCACGGCCCCCCCCCCCCCUNNNNNNNNNNNNNNNNNNCACGCGGCUCCCGGGAGCGUUCGCGGGGCUCCGGUGGGGGCGGGGGGGGGGAGCCCCCGCCGUGACCCCGCAGCCCCGGGGCAACCGGGAGCCGCCAGUUACGGGGGGGGGGCUGCGACCUGCCGGUACCGGGGGGGGCUCUCCGCAAUCAGCCCCGCGGUGCUCGGGGCCGGCAGCCCGCGGGUAACCCCAGCGUGCACCGGGAACCCCGGGGGGGCCCUCGCCCGGUCCCGGGGGGUGCCCGGCGGGGCCGUUCCCGGAGCUCGGCGCAACCCGGGUGCCCGGUACCGGGCCCGUCCCCGGUACGAGCACAACCCGGGGGGGGCUGGGGGGAG